GCCGUUUAUAGCUGGUUAAAAUCUAUCUCAAGGAUGAAUUGUAGAGAUAUUUUACUGUUAGAUGAAAUUAUCGAUCGCCGAUGGAACGAAAUCGACUCUAGACGUCACACGAGCAUUCUAUACGAUCGAAACGGUACGCCGCGCUACCGGCUGAAUCGAUAUGCAAUCGGUUCUUUAUUCGGUGUGUACGACCUUGAUGCAAUCGCAUGGUCACAUGGCUUCUAUACAAUGAGUUCGAGAAUUUGCAACUGAGAGAGUCGUGAGCGAUAACUCAUCGUAUGAGUCACGCAAAAGUCACGAAUACGGCAUUACGAACGCACCUAAAGUACGCUGAGGCGAUUAACAUAAUGCCUGACAUUUUGUCAAUUAGUUUGACAAUUAGAAGAUGCAGAUGCUUGAUUUUUGUAAUCAGAAAUGACUUCAGCGCAAGAAACAAUGUCAUAGCGCUGCUUUCGUAAAGAAUAAUUGCCUGAUAGCAAAUCGAUUAUACAGCUGUAAUUUAUGUUAAUAAAUGAGCGAUAAAAUUGA
rnacentral:misc_RNA from 1 species